ACGCGUAGGUAACCUGCCUUGUAGCGGGGGAUAACUAUUGGAAACGAUAGCUAAUACCGCAUAACAAUGGAUGACACAUGUCAUUUAUUUUGAAAGGGGCAAUUGCUCCACUACAAGAUGGACCUGCGUUGUAUUAGCUAGUAGGUGAGGUAACGGCUCACCUAGGCGACGAUACAUAGCCGACCUGAGAGGGUGAUCGGCCACACUGGGACUGAGACACGGCCCAGACUCCUACGGGAGGCAGCAUG
rnacentral:rRNA from 1 species